UUUUAUCAGCUCACUAUUAUUUCUUUCUAUCUGCUCCAAUUGGUAUCUCAGCAAGUCUAUUUUUUUUCUCACCGCUGCAAGCUCCAAUGCCGAAGCAUCAAGGGUGGAACCAUGGAAACUAGCUAAGUAACGCCCCACUUAUGCAAAAUCUUAUAAAUAAGCAUUAAAAUGUUGCAAGUUGUAAGGGGCUGAAAGAAGAUGCCCAAAGACUCCACCUGGGUGAGAGAUUUGAGAGCACCCAACAUAUGCUAUUGGACUCCUUGUUCGUCCAAAAGUUGCCUCUCAGAUGGAGAAAGAAAGUCCUUUAGAAGUCCAACCGUAGCUUGGAGGUCCU
rnacentral:lncRNA from 1 species